UACGUAGGGUGCGAGUGUUAAUCGGAAUUACUGGGCGUAAAGCGUGCGCAGGCGGUUCGUUGUGUCGGCGGUGAAAGCCCCGGGCUCAACCUGGGAAUGGCCGUUGAAACUGGCGAACUGGAGUGUGGCAGAGGGGGGUGGAAUUCCGCGUGUAGCAGUGAAAUGCGUAGAGAUGCGGAGGAACACCGAUGGCGAAGGCAGCCCCCUGGGCUGACACUGACGCUCAGGCACGAAAGCGUGGGGAGCAAACAGG
rnacentral:rRNA from 1 species